rnacentral:rRNA from 1 species
GACGAACGCUGGCGGCGUGCUUAACACAUGCAAGUAGAACGGAAAGGCCCUGCUUUUGUGGGGUGCUCGAGUGGCGAACGGGUGAGUAACACGUGAGUAACCUGCCCUUGACUUUGGGAUAACUUCAGGAAACUGGGGCUAAUACCGGAUAGGAGCUCCUGCUGCAUGGUGGGGGUUGGAAAGUUUCGGCGGUUGGGGAUGGACUCGCGGCUUAUCAGCUUGUUGGUGGGGUAGUGGCUUACCAAGGCUUUGACGGGUAGCCGGCCUGAGAGGGUGACCGGCCACAUUGGGACUGAGAUACGGCCCAGACUCCUACGGGAGGCAGCAGUGGGGAAUAUUGCACAAUGGGCGGAAGCCUGAUGCAGCAACGCCGCGUGCGGGAUGACGGCCUUCGGGUUGUAAACCGCUUUCGCCUGUGGCGAAGCGUGAGUGACGGUAAUGGGUAAAGAAGCACCGGCUAACUACGUG